rnacentral:rRNA from 1 species
CUGAGGUCAGGCAAGAACACCCGCUGAACUUAAGCAUAUCAAUAAGCGGAGGAAAAGAAACUAACUAGGAUUCCCUUAGUAGCGGCGAGCGAACCGGGAUCAGCCCAACUUGUAAAUCAUUAGCCUUUGGCUAAUUGAAUUGUAGUCUCAAGAUGCGAUCUCUGCAGCUAGCAGUGCCCAAUUUUCCUUGGAAAAGGGAGUCAGAGAGGGUGAGAACCCCGUCGGCACUUGCUUCAGCUGCUCCACGAGGCGUUUUCUCAGAGUCGGGUUGCUUGGGAAUGCAGCCCUAAGUAGGUGGUAAAUCCCAUCUAAGGCUAAAUACUGACGGGAGACCGAUAGCGAACAAGUACCGUGAGGGAAAGAUGAAAAGAACUUUGAAAAGAGAGUCAAAAGUGCUUGAAAUUGUUGAGGGGGAAGGAAUUGGAAGCCGUUUGUGCGCCUGGGCUUAAGUGGGCAAUUCUGCCCAUUGUACGCCUUAGGUGCCGGUCAGCAUCGGCUACUGGACCGGGAUAAUAACUUUCCAUUGGAGAGUGCAUGCCGGCCCGGUGGCCGAGGAUUUGAAAGGUGCUCUUUGAGUCCUUCGGGAACUGCGCCUUCAAGAUGCUGGCAAAAGGCCUUCAAUUCGCCCGUCUUGGAACACGGACCAAGGAGUCUAACAUGUAUGCGAGCCGGUGGGUUUAACACCCAUGAGACGCAAGUAACCUGACUGGUGGGAUGGCUUAUGCCUGCACCAUCGACCGACCAUGAUCUUCUGUGAAAGGUUUGAGUACGAGCAUACCUGUUGGGACCCGAAAGAUGGUGAACUAUGCCUGAGCAGGGCGAAGCCAGGGGAAACUCUGGUGGAGGCUCGUAGAUGUGCUGACGUGCAAAUCGCUUUUCGGACUUGGGUAUAGGGGCGAAAGACUAAUCGAACCAUCUAGUAGCUGGUUCCCUCCGAAAUUUCCCUUAGGAUAGCUGCAACCGGUUAAGAGUUUUAUCAGGUAAAGCGAAUGAUUAGAGGAUUCGGGGACGGAAUGUCCUCGACCUAUUCUCAAACUUUAAAUGGGUAAGAACCCGGGGUUGCUUAAUUGAACCCUGCGGUCGAAUCUCGGUUGCUAGUGGGCCAGUCCGGGUAAGCUGGACUGGCGAUGCGGGAUGAUCCGAACGCUGAGUUAAAGUGCCUAACUGCUCGCUCACCUAGAUCCCACAAAAGGUGUUGGUUCAUCCAGACAGCAGGACGGUGGCCAUGGAAGUCGGAAUCCGCUAAGGAGUGUGUAACAACUCACCUGCCGAAUGAACUAGCCCUGAAAAUGGAUGGCGCUCAAGCGUGCUACCCAUACCUCGCCGCCGGGGUAGAAACGAUGCCCCGGCGAGUAGGCUGGCGUGGAGGCCCGUGACGAAGCCUAGGGAGUGAUCCCGGGUAGAACGGCCUCUAGUGCAGAUCUUGGUGGUAGUAGCAAAUACUCAAAUGAGAACUUUGAGGACUGAAGUGGGGAAAGGUUCCAUGUGAACAGCAGUUGGACAUGGGUUAGUCGAUCCUAAGGGGCAGGGAAACUCCGUUUUAACGUGCGCACUUGUGCGCCGCUCCCCGAAAGGGAAACCGGUUAACAUUCCGGUACCUGGAUGUGGAUUCUCCACGGCAACGUAACUGAAGGCGGAGACGUCGGCGGGGGCCCUGGGAAGAGUUCUCUUUUCUUCUUAACGGUCCAUCACCCUGAAAUCGGUUUGUCCGGAGCUAGGGUUUAACGGCCGGUAGAGCCCCGCACCUUUGCGGGGUCCGGUGCGCUCCCGACGACCCUUGAAAAUCCGCCGGAAGGAAUAGUUUUCACGCCAGGUCGUACUCAUAACCGCAGCAGGUCUCCAAGGUGAAAAGCCUCUAGUUGAUAGAACAAUGUAGGUAAGGGAAGUCGGCAAAAUAGAUCCGUAACCUCGGGAAAAGGAUUGGCUCU